rnacentral:rRNA from 1 species
AAAUUGAAGAGUUUGAUCAUGGCUCAGAUUGAACGCUGGCGGCAGGCCUAACACAUGCAAGUCGAACGGUAACAGGAAGCAGCUUGCUGCUUCGCUGACGAGUGGCGGACGGGUGAGUAAUGUCUGGGAAACUGCCCGAUGGAGGGGGAUAACUACUGGAAACGGUAGCUAAUACCGCAUAACGUCGCAAGACCAAAGAGGGGGACCUUAGGGCCUCUUGCCAUCGGAUGUGCCCAGAUGGGAUUAGCUAGUAGGUGGGGUAA